rnacentral:misc_RNA from 1 species
GAAAUGCGAUAAGUAAUGUGAAUUGCAGAAUUCAGUGAAUCAUCGAAUCUUUGAACGCACAUUGCGCCCCCUGGUAUUCCGGGGGCAUGCCUGUUCGAGCGUCAUUUCACCACUCAAGCCUCGCUUGGUAUUGGGCGACGCGGUCCGCCGCGCGCCUCAAAUCGACCGGCUGGGUCUUUCGUCCCCCCAGCGUUGUGGAAACUAUUCGCUAAAGGGUGCCGCGGGAGGCCACGCCGUAAAACAACCCCAUUUCUAAGGUUGACCUCGGAUCAGGUAGGGAUACCCGCUGAACUUAAGC